AUUGAACGCUGGCGGCAGGCCUAACACAUGCAAGUCGAGCGGAUGAAGGGAGCUUGCUCCUGGAUUCAGCGGCGGACGGGUGAGUAAUGCCUAGGAAUCUGCCUGGUAGUGGGGGAUAACGUCCGGAAACGGGCGCUAAUACCGCAUACGUCCUGAGGGAGAAAGUGGGGGAUCUUCGGACCUCACGCUAUCAGAUGAGCCUAGGUCGGAUUAGCUAGUUGGUGGGGUAAAGGCCUACCAAGGCGACGAUCCGUAACUGGUCUGAGAGGCUGAUCAGUCACACUGGAACUGAGACACGGUCCAGACUCCUACGGGAGGCAGCAGUGGGGAAUAUUGGACAAUGGGCGAAAGCCUGAUCCAGCCAUGCCGCGUGUGUGAAGAAGGUCUUCGGAUUGUAAAGCACUUUAAGUUGGGAGGAAGGGUAGUAAGUUAAUACCUUGCUGUUUUGACGUUACCAACAGAAUAAGCACCGGCUAACUUCGUG
rnacentral:rRNA from 1 species